UACGUAGGGACCAAGCGUUGUUCGGAUUUACUGGGCGUAAAGGGCGCGUAGGCGGCGCGGUAAGUCACUUGUGAAAUCUCUGAGCUUAACUCAGAACGGCCAAGUGAUACUGCAGUGCUAGAGUGUGGAAGGGGCAAUCGGAAUUCUUGGUGUAGCGGUGAAAUGCGUAGAGUAUCAAGAGGAACACCUGAGGUGAAGACGGGGAUUGCCUGGGCUGAUGACUGACGUGGAGGCGCGAAAGCUAGGGUAGCAAGCGGGG
rnacentral:rRNA from 1 species